GCCAGGUGUGUUGGCACACACCUGUAAUCCCAGCUACUUAGGAGGCUGAGGCAGGAGAAUCACUUGAACCCAGGAGGCGGAGGUUGCAGUGAACCAAGAUCAUACCACUGCACUCCAGCUUGGGUGACAGAGUGAGACUCCGUCUCUA
ensembl:misc_RNA Metazoa_SRP Metazoan signal recognition particle RNA